rfam:Morus notabilis contig18197, whole genome shotgun sequence.
CAGGGGCAUACAAAUAAUGUGGUUUUAUAAAUAGGUAGUUUGCGUUUGAAAUUAUCCUUGAUGCUUUAUCGCCUUGAUGACAUGAUGCCCUGU